AUUGAACGCUGGCGGCAUGCCUUACACAUGCAAGUCGAACGGCAGCACGGGGCAACCUGGUGGCGGGUGGCGAACGGGUGAGUAAUGCAUCGGAACGUACCUUUCAGUGGGGGAUAACGUAGCGAAAGUUACGCUAAUACCGCAUAUUCUGUGAGCAGGAAAGCAGGGGAUCGCAAGACCUUGUGCUGAUUGAGCGGCCGAUGUCAGAUUAGCUAGUUGGUGAGGUAAAGGCUCACCAAGGCGACGAUCUGUAGCGGGUCUGAGAGGAUGAUCCGCCACACUGGAACUGAGACACGGUCCAGACUCCUACGGGAGGCAGCAGUGGGGAAUUUUGGACAAUGGGGGCAACCCUGAUCCAGCCAUGCCGCGUGAGUGAAGAAGGCCUUCGGGUUGUAAAGCUCUUUCGGCCGGGAAGAAAUCGCACGGGCUAAUACCCUGUGUGGAUGACGGUACCGGAAUAAGAAGCACCGGCUAACUACGUGCCAGCAGCCGCAGUAACAC
rnacentral:rRNA from 1 species